rnacentral:ncRNA from 27 species
CUGGACUGCGGUGAUGGGACUCGCCUGAAGCCGUUACAGGCUUCGAACCGCAAACCCGCUGAUGGUUCCUACGACAUA